CAGCCGCCGCGGGAAUACGAGGGGGGCAAGCGUUGUUCGGAAUUAUUGGGCGUAAAGGGUGCGUAGGCGGUUUGGCAAGUCUUGUGUGAAAUCUCUGGGCUCAACCCAGAGUCUGCACGGGAAACUGUCGGGCUAGAGGAUGGGAGAGGUGAGUGGAAUUUCCGGUGUAGCGGUGAAAUGCGUAGAUAUCGGAAGGAACACCUGUGGCGAAAGCGGCUCACUGGACCAUUUCUGACGCUGAUGCACGAAAGCUAGGGGAGCAAAUGGGAUUAGAUACCCCAGUAGUCCCUGUCUCUUAUAC
rnacentral:rRNA from 1 species